rnacentral:rRNA from 1 species
UGGGGAAUCUUGCGCAAUGGGCGGAAGCCUGACGCAGCAACGCCGCGUGCGGGAAGAAGGCCUUAGGGUCGUAAACCGCUUUCAGGGGGGACGAAGCUUCCGGGGUUAAUAGCCUACGGGGUGACGGUACUCCCAAAAGAAGGUCCGGCUAACUACGUGCCAGCAGCCGCGGUAAUACGUAGGGACCGAGCGUUGUCCGGAAUCAUUGGGCGUAAAGAGCGGGUAGGCGGCUUGGUAGGUCUCGUGUGA